UGCCCAGCUGCCUUCUUCAAUUUCCAAAUCUCUGAUUGUAUUUUACAGAUAUCAAAAAAAAACAUCUACCGUUUCCUGUGUAUUUUCCAGUGUCCCACAAAGCAAGUUUGUGACCAGUUUUAUGACGAUGGCUACCGGGACACAGUCAACUUCUUAAAAAACCUGAGUUUAUUUGGUAUAAAUUAUCUUGCUGAGGACUUUACGCUUCCAUUCGACAAGGAAUUGUGUCAGAAAGGUGAAGGGACCCUGCACAGGAAGCCAGAAGCAAGAAUACUUCACUCCAGGGCCACAGACCCUGAGGACAUCACCAAAGAGAACAUACUAAG